rnacentral:rRNA from 1 species
UACGAAGGGGGCUAGCGUUGCUCGGAAUCACUGGGCGUAAAGGGUGCGUAGGCGGGUCUUUAAGUCAGGGGUGAAAUCCUGGAGCUCAACUCCAGAACUGCCUUUGAUACUGAAGAUCUUGAGUUCGGGAGAGGUGAGUGGAACUGCGAGUGUAGAGGUGAAAUUCGUAGAUAUUCGCAAGAACACCAGUGGCGAAGGCGGCUCACUGGCCCGAUACUGACGCUGAGGUGCGAAAGCUAGGGGAGCAAACAGG